AGUAGUAGGGGCAACUGGCUGCAAUAUCUUUUACCCUACAAAUAGCAAGGGUUGAUCUGACUAAUAUGAUUGGAUAGGCAUAUAUCCUUUUCUCUCCUUUCACUCCUCUUCCCUGCCUUCCAUAGCUGCAUACUUAGUUGAAUAAGACAAACUUCUUUGACAGAGGAGAAAGGUUGUUCAGUAAGAAGGAUGUUUAGCUGUACUCCCCUUAUAGAAACUACAAGCUUUCAAGGUUCAUUUGUAGAACUUAGGGUAUUCAAGCUUCGAAGACUCCAAGCAAAUCCAAAUGAAGUAGUUCAUUGGGCAGUCUACCUCUGU
ensembl:misc_RNA 7SK 7SK RNA